rnacentral:rRNA from 1 species
UCUUUAUAAUAAAUUUAUUUUAAUAAAUUAUUUCAUUUAAAUUGAUAAUUUUAAUAUUAAAUUAUUUUAUUGGGGUGAUACAAAAAUUUAAUUAACUUUUUUAUUAAAAUUUCUUAAAUUAAAGAUUUAUAAAAAUAUGAUCUAUUAUUAAUAAUUCAGAGAAUAAGA